rnacentral:rRNA from 1 species
GAUGAACGCUGGCGGCGUGCCUAAUACAUGCAAGUCGAGCGAACAGACGAGGAGCUUGCUCCUCUGACGUUAGCGGCGGACGGGUGAGUAACACGUGGAUAACCUACCUAUAAGACUGGGAUAACUUCGGGAAACCGGAGCUAAUACCGGAUAAUAUAUUGAACCGCAUGGUUCAAUAGUGAAAGACGGUUUUGCUGUCACUUAUAGAUGGAUCCGCGCCGCAUUAGCUAGUUGGUAAGGUAACGGCUUACCAAGGCAACGAUGCGUAGCCGACCUGAGAGGGUGAUAGGCCACACUGGAGCUGAGACACGGUCAAGACGACUACGGGAGGCAGCAGUAGGGAAUCUGCCGCAAUGGGCGAAAGCCUGACGGAGCAGCGCCGCGUGAGUGAUGAAGGUCUUCGGAUCGUAAAACUCUGUUAUUAGGGAAGAACAAAUGUGUAAGUAACUAUGCACGUCUUGACGGUACCUAAUCAGAAAGCCACGGCUAACUACGUG